GAAAUUUCAAUCGUUAGAGUAACACACAGUUACACGACCUCAUCAAUCGUGUCACUGGUCUUUCUCUGACGAAUUGAAGUUCU
ncrna:Caenorhabditis elegans microRNA cel-mir-359 precursor